GCUCUCUGGGGCACCCAAUCUCCCCUCUGGCCUCCCACCUUUCCUCCUGCAGGCGCUGCCGCACAAUAAAUCGCAGUGGGAGGCAGGCUUGGCUCCCCAGCGCCAGGAAGCAGCUGCCCCUCCCUCUGGAUCACACAGGGUUUUUGCCGUAGUGGUGACAGCCCAAUUGGGGCACCAGGGAAGCGAUUGAUUCGUCUACUGCCAGCAACCCUGAGUUGCAUAUACUGCUGGGAGAGGGAGAGGGAAGAAAGGGAGAAAAGAGGAGAGGAGAGGAGAGGAGAGAGAAGGGGGGAGGGAGGGAGGGAGGGAGGGAGAGAGAGAGAGAGAGAGAAAGAGAGAGACUCACAGAGCAAAACCUUCCAUCCAUGUGGAACAGUCUGGGCGAAUCACCGUCCGCUCUCCACAGACUCCAGCUGCUCUGAGUUUUCUCCUCUGACAGCAGUAUUCCUUUUUGUCUUCAUUCUGCGUGAUUUAGAGGCACCUUCACUGAGCUUUCAAAUCAAGUCACCGGGACUCAGUGUCUUCCCACCAGGCAGGGAAGGCAGGGAGUUGGCAAGGAUUCGAUUCACCCAUUCCACUGCAAUCCUCCACUGUCCUGGUGAGUGACAUUCUCCCUAGCUGUGCAAAUGGGCUAGAGGAUAUGGCAACCCUAAGUGUGUGCAUGGGCUGGAGGGGCAGAGGGUAGUUGGGAAGGUAGGGCUGUUGAGAAAUGGCCAUAGUUAUUUGCCUAUAUCCUGCAGUGUUUUAGGGAUAAAGCGGCACCCCAGGGCAAAUGAGAUUUGGGCUCAGUGCCCAGGGAGGGGGCAAAAUGUGCUCAUGUUUAGGCAAUGCAAUCAGGACAGUAGCUUCUGCCCAGGUUACCCUC
rnacentral:lncRNA from 1 species